rnacentral:rRNA from 1 species
UACGUAGGGGGCGAGCGUUGUCCGGAAUUAUUGGGCGUAAAGCGUCCGCAGGUGGCACUUCAAGUCUGCUGUCAAAGACCGGGGCUUAACCCUGGAAAGGCAGUGGAAACUGAAGCGCUAGAGUGUGGCAGGGGUAGAGGGAAUUCCCGGUGUAGCGGUGAAAUGCGUAGAGAUCGGGAGGAACACCGAUGGCGAAGGCAGCCCCCUGGGCUAACACUGACGCUCAGGCACGAAAGCGUGGGGAGCAAACAGG